UUCUGGUGUCUGGAAACCACUUUUCUUGAAAGUCUUUUACCACCUCCGGCUCUCGGACCCUGUUCUGCAAUGAUCCCUGAGCUUGGGGGUGAGACGUAAAUGAUCGGUUUGGAGCUGAGGACUCUACAGUCUUUAGUUCCCUGCACGUCACCCCCAGUGGCGAUAAAAAGGAGACCAUCAUGACUGAGGUUGAAAAGAUGUCAGUUGUCCUGGCAAGUUCUGUGUCAAGUUGACAGACACUAGAGUCAUCAGUGAAGAGGGAGCCUCAGUUGAGAAGAUCUUGGAUAAGAUGGGGCGCCUGCUUAGAGCCCCAGAGGACCAGGCUAUCAUUGAGAGAGCAACAGAGAGAGCCCGUGUAGGAGGGUCACUGAGAAAGAUGAAUUUAAAAUACAGAAAAGGAACGAGCAAAAAGAUCAUUUACCAGCUGGAAGAUCUGCGGUCAGUGAAAAGAUUAACGGCAGAUUUUGGCAAAAUCGUUAUGGCUUCACGACAGAUGGAGGGACAUUUUUAAAAAGUCUGGCAAAGGGUCACUCUCCGGAAACAGAUGCCCAAUGUAGGAAAAUACAUUAGCCCAGACAUUCGUGUUUCUACCGAAGAUGGGCCUCUGUUGGAGAGUGAGCACCUUCAAACUAGAAAUCAGCACCAGUCUUCUACCUAUAGCGCAGACCUGGUAUUUCCAAAGCUGUAGUUGGCCAGCCAGGGUCGCUUUAAGUAAAUGCAUGAUCUUUAAUUCACUUCUCUUUUUAAAGUUUGCUCUCUGUUCCAAAUAUUCCAAUUUUGAAAAACAGACUAAUGUUGGACAGUGUCUUUGAGAAUCUCUAUGGGUCUUGCUAGCGUGUGUGUGUGUGUGUGUGUGUGUGUGUGUAUGUGUGUGUAUGUGUGCAUAUACCCUGAGACUCCCUGUCUUUCAAUCGUAUCUGGACUUUAACUCAUUUUGAUAUAUAUUUGAAGAUAUAUAUAUAUAUGUAUAUAUGUAUGUAUAUAUAUGUAUAUAUGUAUGUAUGUAUAUAUAUAUAUAUCUUCAGCUCCACGCUGAACAUAUGGUUGCAGACUAUAUGGAAUGAGGUGUGAAACGAUGCCUUGGGACUCUCCUUUCCAGCUAUCUUUAUCCAUUUUUUCCUCUUCCCCUUUUCCCUCAAACUACUUUCUCCACAGCACCACACAGGCAAUGUAAAUGAACCAGAUCCAACGAUCAGUAAAAAAAUAACUUAAAAAAAACAAUUAAAGCCACUAAUGUUGCAUCACAGGCACCUGGUGAUGAGAACUGUAAGGCUGGGGUGGCUGGAACUCGUUGAGCUUGAUACAUCACCAUGAGGGGCUUCUUCCUUCUGUGUCUCACUUUCUUUUAACCUGGAUGGGGGUCUAGUAAUAGCGUCCCCAAACAGCCCUUUCUCCAACUUAACUACAUUUUAGAUUAAAUUUCCUGCCUUUAGGCCUAACCUGUCUUUCACCUCAGCUCUCGUAGAACUGAAAAAUAAGGUACUCUCUCUCCUUAAAAAACCAUCGUUCCAUUAAGGAAGCUGUAAUUAUAAGUACUCUCUCUGAACCUUUGGGAGAAGAAAUUAUUCUAAAAACCAUGCUAGAUUUUUAGAGAGGUCUGCCUCUCUUAAAAAGACCAGAGAGCCUUCUUUUCCAACUCUGAUCAUCAGAGAAGACGAUGUCGUGGGCUCCCUUCCUGUGGGAGGGUGGGGGCCUAGAUUAGCCGCAUGCCAUUGGCCUCCUAUCAAGAAGAUAAGAGAGAGUUCAUCAUUUCUUAUAUAAGGUCAGUAGUAGACGCAGCCAGCCCCAUGGCCUUCUUACUCCCAGCCUAUCUUAAACCCCCAACCUUUGAUUCAAAGGAAUUUAAUUCACAUUGACUUUUGAAGGAAACAUUAUAUUUCUGGUAUGCCGUACAAUCCGAAAGGGAUUAUUACAGUCAUCCUGCCAGCAGGCUGAGAACAACAGAGAUCGGAAAACUAUUAUUAAAUUUAUAUUUUAAA